rnacentral:rRNA from 1 species
GAUGAACGCUAGCGGCAGGCCUAACACAUGCAAGUCGAGGGGUAGAAGGAGCUUGCUCCUUUGAGACCGGCGCACGGGUGCGUAACGCGUAUGCAAUCUACCUUGUACAGGGGAAUAGCCCAGAGAAAUUUGGAUUAAUGCCCCAUAGUAUAUAACCUUCGCAUGUUGGUUAUAUUAAAGUUCCAACGGUACAAGAUGAGCAUGCGUCCCAUUAGUUAGUUGGUAAGGUAACGGCUUACCAAGACGAUGAUGGGUAGGGGUCCUGAGAGGGAGAUCCCCCACACGGGUACUGAGACACGGACCAGACUCCUACGGGAGGCAGCAGUGAGGAAUAUUGGUCAAUGGUCGCAAGACUGAACCAGCCAUGCCGCGUGCAGGAAGACGGUCCUAUGGAUUGUAAACUGCUUUUAUACAGGAAGAAACCCUCCCACGUGUGGGAGCUUGACGGUACUGUAGGAAUAAGGAUCGGCUAACUCCGUG